UACAGAGGGGGCGAGCGUUGUUCGGGAUUACUGGGCGUAAAGGGCGCGUAGGCGGCCCGCUAAGUCGAACGUGAAAUCCCCAGGCUCAACCUGGGAACUGCGUCCGAUACUGGCAGGCUUGAAUCCGGGAGAGGGAUUUGGAAUUCCAGGUGUAGCGGUGAAAUGCGUAGAUAUCUGGAGGAACACCGGUGGCGAAGGCGGCAUCCUGGACCGGUAUUGACGCUGAGGCGCGAAAGCUAGGGGAGCAAACGGG
rnacentral:rRNA from 1 species